rnacentral:tRNA from 1 species
CAGUAGCUCAGUGACAGAGCUUCCGCUUCCUGCGCGGGGCGACCUGGGUUCGAUUCCCGGCUG